GAUGAACGCUAGCUACAGGCUUAACACAUGCAAGUCGAGGGGCAGCAUGCUGAUAGCUUGCUAUCGGUGAUGGCGACCGGCGCACGGGUGCGUAACGCGUAUCCAACCUUCCCCUUAGUAGGGCAUAGCACGGUGAAAAUCGGAUUAAUACCCUAUGUUCUUCACAGCGGACAUCUAACGUGAAGCAAAGAUUCAUCGCUAAGGGAUGGGGAUGCGUCUGAUUAGGUUGCAGGCGGGGUAACGGCCCACCUGGCCGACGAUCAGUAGGGGUUCUGAGAGGAAGGUCCCCCACAUUGGAACUGAGACACGGUCCAAACUCC
rnacentral:rRNA from 1 species